GAUGAACGCUAGCGGCAGGCCUAACACAUGCAAGUCGAGGGGCAGCACAGAAACAGCAAUGUUUUGGUGGCGACCGGCGGACGGGUGCGUACAGCGUAUGCAACCUACCUUUAACAGGGGGAUAACUGAGAGGAAUUUCCACUAAUACCCCAUAACACAGAUCAAGGCAUCUUGAUUGGUUGAAAAUCCCGGUGGUUAACGAUGGGCAUGAGUUGUAUUAGGUAGUUGGUGAGGUAAUGGCUUGCCAAGCCUACGAUACAUAGGGGGACUGAGAGGUUAGCCCCCCACACUGGUACUGAGACACGGACCAGACUCCUACGGGAGGCAGCAGUGAGGAAUAUUGGUCAGUGGGGGCAACCCUGAACCAGCCAUGCCGCGUGCAGGAAGACGGCUCUAUGAGUUGUAAACUGCUUUAAACAGGGAUAAAGCACAGUAUGUAUACUGUGUUGAAGGUACUGUAAGAAUAAGGAUCGGCUAACUCCGUGCCAGCCGCCGCCGUAA
rnacentral:rRNA from 1 species